rnacentral:pre_miRNA from 1 species
ACACAUAUCAUCUGGGGGUCUCGUUAAAAUGCAGAUUCUAAGGCAGUGGCUCCGGGGUCAGGCUGAGACUUUGCAUUUCUAACAAGUUCCCAGGUGAUGUCGGU